UGAACAGCAACUUUAGAUAAGAAAAUCGGCUUGAGACCUCCUCAUACACGUUUAUUACUGUACUUACACUCAGAAGUCGUCGGAACAGUGAGUAAGAGAAUCUGAAUAAGCCCUGUAGGAAAUUCGGGAAUCCAAGACUCAGAGACAAAUACAGCUGCAAUGAAUCUGCAAAUCACAGUCUUAGUAACCUUGGCAAUUUACGGCACGCUGCUAAGCAACAGUUGCGUGGCAACACAAGACUUGUCCCAGAGCGAAGAAGAUAUUCUCUCACAAAUCUUACAAGCGUGUCAACAGAUCUGCAGUAACAGUGUCGUCUGCCCCCGCACGUGUCCGCAGAGUUUUCUAAAUCCUUGGAGACGCCGCCGCGACAUCAACGCAAAAUUUGCUCCAAUGGCCAAAAUAGUAAGAGAUUCUGAACCUUCUAUGGCAAAGCUAGAGCUUCUGCUCAACAAACUACAGCGGCAUCUUGUGCGGAAAUAACGUGUUGCCUGGAUUAAACUACGGGAUAAUCUGUGACGAAAUAUGGUGUAACAAACAACCUACAUCAAAUAUUGCUAACAUUUGACCCUGACCUCAAGAAAGAGUGUCAAGGCGACCUCAAAGUUGAAGACAAAUCAAUGACUGGGCAAUACCUUCCACCUUUAAAGCCAAAACGGGCAUGGAUUAGGCAUAUCGGCAUGCCGAGCUGGUCCGCUCCUAAAUACUGUCUCUGUUAAUCAAGUUGCAUAAUUAUGUGUUUGGUGAAAAUCAUUGAGAAAAAUCGUAGUCAAUAUACAACUACAGGUCGACGUUCUUAAAAAGUCCUAACUUAAUUCAUCACUUAAUGGGAAGCGUGGUCCCUUCCGUCACUAUCUAAUGAAGGUUGUCGCACCUGUAUGUAUAUGGAGUUAUAAAUAUGUGUCGCUGGGAAGAAAGUCGAUAUUGAGAAAAAAAGAACACUCACAGUAGAACGAUCUGAAUUACUGAGAUUAACCACGUCACCUUCGGAUGUUAAUCAAGCUUUUCGCAAGAUUCGAGGAACGGAAUCGUCUCUUUGCUCUGAGUUUUUUAACUAUGACUUAGCGUACGCCAAAGACAUUUUCAUUGUCAUUCCUGUUAUUUUCUCAUUUUCUUCACACUUUCAUUUUAUGUUUAUAUUUCACGUCCUUUAUUUAAACUAAUGUAGUUUUAUUUGAAUGUCACAGGCAUUUAAGUCAGAAUAUGUAAUGUCAUAUUUAUACAGUUCAUACUUCACUGUCUAGAAUAUGUAUAUAUAGCUCACAAAACUGUCUGAGGCGAUGGGCUUAUUGAAGGUGUUUGCACUAAAACAGUAACUUCUACAGUAAUAGAUUUCUUCAAAUUCUUUGUAGAACUUCAGCUAUUUUAAUAAAGCAUAUCU